rnacentral:rRNA from 1 species
GACGAACGCUGGCGGCGUGCUUAACACAUGCAAGUCGAACGGAAAGGCCCUGCUUUUGUGGGGUGCUCGAGUGGCGAACGGGUGAGUAACACGUGAGUAACCUGCCCCUGACUUUGGGAUAACUUCAGGAAACUGGGGCUAAUACCGGAUAGGAGCUCCUGCUGCAUGGGGGGGGUUGGAAAGUUUCGGCGGUUGGGGAUGGACUCGCGGCUUAUCAGCUUGUUGGUGGGGUAGUGGCUUACCAAGGCUUUGAAGGGUAGCCGGCCUGGGAGGGUGACCGGCCACAUUGGGACUGCGAUACGGCCCAGACUCCUACGGGCCGCAGCAGUGGGGAAUAUUGCACAAUGGGCGGAAGCCUGAUGCAGCAACGCCGCGUGCGGGAUGACGUCCUUCGGGUUGUAAACCGCUUUCGCCUGUGACGAAGCGUGAGUGACGGUAAUGGGUAAAGAAGCACCGGCUAACUACGUG